CAGCCGCCGCGGUAAUACGUAGGUGGCAAGCGUUGUCCGGAUUUAUUGGGCGUAAAGCGAGCGCAGGCGGUUCCUUAAGUCUGAUGUGAAAGCCCACGGCUCAACCGUGGAAGGUCAUUGGAAACUGGGGAACUUGAGUGCAGAAGAGGAGAGUGGAAUUCCAUGUGUAGCGGUGAAAUGCGUAGAUAUAUGGAGGAACACCAGUGGCGAAGGCGACUCUCUGGUCUGUAACUGACGCUGAGGCUCGAAAGCGUGGGGAGCAAACAGGAUUAGAUACCCGCGUAGUCCCUGUCUCUUAUAC
rnacentral:rRNA from 1 species